GGUCGCAAAGUGUGCAUGAACAGCGUGCAUGGAGUGAGCGAGGCACAUCAGGUCCAGUUGGCACGGUGGGUGGAACUAGUGGCACUGAAGAUCGCAAUGGAGCCAUUUCACCCCGCAAGGAGCAGGGAAGGGCCUCGACAGAGAACUGGAGGUCCCGGGGAAGUGAAAAUGAUGAGACUGAGCGAUGGAGGGGUGUAGGCAGUGGUCGCAGUGAAAAAUGGGGUGCACGAUGUGGUUGGCGAGAGAGAGAGAAUGGCCUAGAUGGAGACUGGGAUGACGGCUCUGGACGAGGGACUGGCCGGGGUGUCCCAGUUACCUCACGUAAUACACGGCAACCUUGGGAUGACAAAGACGGACACCACAGGAAAUCAUGGGAGGAAGAUAACUUGCCAGAGUGGGCAACUGAGAAUGCAGAUGAGAAAGGUGGAAGCUUUGAUGC